CUCUGACACCAAGGGCCCGACACACGAAAUACCGACAAUGGGGAAACGGUAAGUCUCCAUAGUGCGGAAUGCAAAUAUUUCCAUUCCUGCACUGUAGUGCGA